ACCUUGGAUACGUACAAACACCAUAUUGACUGUCAACAUUGUAUUGAGUGAAAUAAAACAAGGAGGUUUACAAGAUGCCGUCCGGUGCAGGCUUGCUUCAGCGGCCUAUUAAUGAGCAAAUUGAUGAACUCAAGUCAAAGAUCGCCCUCUUGGAGGGUGAUCGUAAGGCUUACUAUGAGACGUCACAGUUUGCAAUGAAAAAGAAUAGGGAGACAAUAUUGAAGCUGAGAAAAGAGAACAAAGAAGUUCGCAAGAAGCUCAGUGACUCCCUGUCUCAAGAUCAACAUGUCAUCAACAAAGCUUUCCAAGAUCGCCCAGUGGAGAGAGCCUCCAUGAAAAACAAGUCUGGCAGGCAAGCCAUCACGGUGAUGGAUCACAAGGUCUGUGACACGAUGAAGCGGCUCAACGCCCUCAAACACCAGACCGCCCAGAAACAGAAGAGGCUGGAGAAGUUACAGACGGAGUACCAGCAGAUGGUGGACGACAGCUCCGAGGCCGUGGCCACCGACAAGGGCGAGUCCAAGGACGCGCAGUCAAUGCGGUAUCUUGAGAACAGUUAUGAUAAAACUAAACUCAAGAUUGAUGAGGCCUCCCACUUGAAGAGAAUUUAUGAAGACAUCAAGAGGAAACUGGAAGUUGAAGCUGGAAACUUCCCCAGUAUCCUGGACUGUAUGGAGGCGGAGAUCCGCAACACCAAGGCCGAGCUGAAGGAGUUACGGGCCAUGCAUGACGACGCCCACAUCUCCAAGGAGGCCGCCCAGCAGGAGUUAGCCAAGCACGAGAAGGUCGUGUACACGGAGCGUAAACAGCGUGAGGUCGAGCUCCAGAAAAUGAAGAAAGAAGCCGAGGAGAAGAAAAUGCAGCAUGAACGCAUCGAGCGAAGAAUUGCUCAGCGUGGUUCAAUCCAGCAGGAUGAGCUCUCUCCCCAGGAGAAACAAGCGCUGCAGGGCGAGGAACAGCAGCAGAAAAUCACCACCUAUGAGGAGGCAUUCAAACGUAUCAAGGAGGCCACCGGCGUCUCAGACACCAUGGAAGUGGUGCGACGAUUUGAGGGUCAGGACGAAACGACCAAGCACCUGGAGGCGCUACAGAAGGACAACGAGAAACAGAUCACACGACUGAAGGAGGACAAGGAGAAACUCCAGAUGGAGUUUGAGGAGAUGAAGUACACCGGCGAUGCCAAACUGUCAAGUGGAGAGAGAAUGCUUGAGGAAUUCCAGAGUCAUCUUCAAAAGGAGGAGGACAGAAGAUCUCAUGCUGAGGAUAACCUUAACCGCAACAGUAACAUCAUGGUGUCAGUGAAGGCUGGAGUGGAGCACCUGUCGGACAAACUUCACCACCUCAAAGCUAGUAAAGGACACGUUCCCACAGCACAGAUCGCCCCGACCUCGGACGAGUACGUCCUGGAUCAGCUGUCGACGUGCGAGGAGAAGCUGCUGAAACUACUGGAGGAACUGGAUGGCAAGGAGCUCCAGGAGAUCAUGAAACAGAUGGAGGAGGAAGAGGUAGGGGCUAUUGAACCCACUGUAGGCAUUUUAUAUACAUACUGUGGGAAGUUUAUUGACACUCCUAUAGACAAUCAUGUGACUAAGUACAUGUAUUUAGACACUCCUUUGAGAUAUUGUUUGGGGUGUUUGUACACAAAGAAGUUUUAAGACAUUCAAUAAGGAAGUUUUUAGACACUUAUGUGGAGUUUUUAUAGACACUCCUUUAGGAAAUUAAAGACAAUUAAUCCUGUAUUCAAUUAAGGUCAAUUUUGUCAGCUACGGUGAAUCAAUAACCAUUGAUUGUGUUAUUUUACAGUUCCAUGCCAGUAUAGAAGGAAAGCUUCCACAAUACAACACGCGUAUCAAGCUACCCACCACCCAAAGAGACAUGGUUUAUGAUGAUGACGAGGACAGCGGUGAUGACGAUACUGACGUACCCAAUCGUAAUGCAAUCAAGAAACAGUCACAAUUUAUCGUGGACUCUAAAACCAAACGACGUACCACCAAGAAAAAGAAGAAGACCAAAUAAAAAGACGACGGGACUCCAACAGACACUUAUUAGAUCGAUCAGUCAGACAUUAUCUCUUCUCCCCAGGUCCGAUGCCCUAAUCUAUCAUCUAUAUACUGACAGUGCUCCAGCGGUGUAAAUAUGUAAUCAGCUUCUUUCACAUUUGGAAUCUGUAACUUGAAAAUUUUUGAAGGUAAAAACUACCUAAAUUCAAAUUUGUGUUUUGUUACAAGCUGGGAGAGCUAGCUGUGCAACUGCCUGAAAUAUGACUUGAUCAUGAAUUAAAUCCGUGUUAUGAUGUUAAUCCUUUUAUUUCUUUGUUCUGGUUAUUUAUAAAUUAUGUAUAAUAAAUUUUUAAAUUU
rnacentral:misc_RNA from 1 species